AGAAUUAGAACUCCCAGCAUCACUUAAAUUGCCUAUGAGUACAAUCGUAGAAUGUAAUGGUGUAAUGAUGUCGCUGAAAGACAAGAGCAAAAAAGAGAGUUUGAUCUUACAUUUGAGUACCAUUGGGGGUACAAAUGCAAAAGAAGUGACGAAAAGAAUUAUGAAAGUUUUGUUUACCGAUACACUCGCUACUCAUUACAAUUGGAAGGGAAAGGGGGACAAAACAGCUUUUUCUACACUGAUUUUUAAAGACAUUAUUGAAAGGGCUGUACGAAAAAAUCCUAUGACCAGGCAUGCAACAGAUUUAGAAAUAAAUGAAUGCAUAAAAAAUUGGCUGCGUUAUGCGCCAGAAAGAAUGAAAA